UGUUGGCUUAGAAGCAGCCAUCAUUUAAAGAAAGCGUAAUAGCUCACUGGUCGAGUCGGCCUGCGCGGAAGAUGUAACGGGGCUAAACCAUGCACCGAAGCUGCGGCAGCGACACUGUGUGUUGUUGGGUAGGGGAGCGUUCUGUAAGCCUGUGAAGGUGGCCUGUGAGGGUUGCUGGAGGUAUCAGAAGUGCGAAUGCUGACAUAAGUAACGAUAAAGCGGGUGAAAAGCCCGCUCGCCGGAAGACCAAGGGUUCCUGUCCAACGUUAAUCGGGGCAGGGUGAGUCGACCCCUAAGGCGAGGCCGAAAGGCGUAGUCGAUGGGAAACGGGUUAAUAUUCCCGUACUUGGUGUUACUGCGAAGGGGGGACGGAGAAGGCUAUGUUGGCCGGGCGACGGUUGUCCCGGUUUAAGCGUGUAGGUGUGUGUUCCAGGUAAAUCCGGUUCACUUUAACACUGAGGCGUGACGACGAGGCACUACGGUGCUGAAGCAACAAAUGCCCUGCUUCCAGGAAAAGCCUCUAAGCAUCAGGUAACAUCAAAUCGUACCCCAAACCGACACAGGUGGUCAGGUAGAGAAUACCAAGGCGCUUGAGAGAACUCGGGUGAAGGAACUAGGCAAAAUGGUGCCGUAACUUCGGGAGAAGGCACGCUGACACGUAGGUGAAGUGAUUUACUCAUGGAGCUGAAGUCAGUCGAAGAUACCAGCUGGCUGCAACUGUUUAUUAAAAACACAGCACUGUGCAAACACGAAAGUGGACGUAUACGGUGUGACGCCUGCCCGGUGCCGGAAGGUUAAUUGAUGGGGUCAGCGCAAGCGAAGCUCCUGAUCGAAGCCCCGGUAAACGGCGGCCGUAACUAUAACGGUCCUAAGGUAGCGAAAUUCCUUGUCGGGUAAGUUCCGACCUGCACGAAUGGCGUAAUGAUGGCCAGGCUGUCUCCACCCGAGACUCAGUGAAAUUGAACUCGCUGUGAAGAUGCAGUGUACCCGCGGCAAGACGGAAAGACCCCGUGAACCUUUACUAUAGCUUGACACUGAACAUUGAGCCUUGAUGUGUAGGAUAGGUGGGAGGCUUUGAAGUGUGGACGCCAGUCUGCAUGGAGCCGACCUUGAAAUACCACCCUUUAAUGUUUGAUGUUCUAACGUGGACCCGUUACCCGGGUUGCGGACAGUGUCUGGUGGGUAGUUUGACUGGGGCGGUCUCCUCCUAAAGAGUAACGGAGGAGCACGAAGGUUGGCUAAUCCUGGUCGGACAUCAGGAGGUUAGUGCAAUGGCAUAAGCCAGCUUGACUGCGAGCGUGACGGCGCGAGCAGGUGCGAAAGCAGGUCAUAGUGAUCCGGUGGUUCUGAAUGGAAGGGCCAUCGCUCAACGGAUAAAAGGUACUCCGGGGAUAACAGGCUGAUACCGCCCAAGAGUUCAUAUCGACGGCGGUGUUUGGCACCUCGAUGUCGGCUCAUCACAUCCUGGGGCUGAAGUAGGUCCCAAGGGUAUGGCUGUUCGCCAUUUAAAGUGGUACGCGAGCUGGGUUUAGAACGUCGUGAGACAGUUCGGUCCCUAUCUGCCGUGGGCGCUGGAGAACUGAGGGGGGCUGCUCCUAGUACGAGAGGACCGGAGUGGACGCAUCACUGGUGUUCGGGUUGUCAUGCCAAUGGCACUGCCCGGUAGCUAAAUGCGGAAGAGAUAAGUGCUGAAAGCAUCUAAGCACGAAACUUGCCCCGAGAUGAGUUCUCCCUGAGACUUAGAGUCUCCUGAAGGAACGUUGAAGACGACGACGUUGAUAGGCCGGGUGUGUAAGCGCAGCGAUGCGUUGAGCUAACCGGUACUAAUGAACCGUGAGGCUUAACCUUACAA
rnacentral:rRNA from 1 species